rnacentral:rRNA from 1 species
UACGUAGGUCCCGAGCGUUGUCCGGAUUUAUUGGGCGUAAAGCGAGCGCAGGCGGUUAGAUAAGUCAGAAGUUAAAGGCUGUGGCUCAACCAUAGUAUGCUUUUGAAACUGUUUAACUUGAGUGCAGAAGGGGAGAGUGGAAUUCCAUGUGUAGCGGUGGAAUGCGUAGAUAUAUGGAGGAACACCGGUGGCGAAAGCGGCUCUCUGGUCUGUAACUGACGCUGAGGCUCGAAAGCGUGGGGAGC